GGCAAGUCUUGAGGGAAAGCGGAGAAACACUCCCUUCUGCAGCAGACACAAGCCAGUUGCAGACAUGUGGGAGAAUGAAAAAGCAGCAUAGGGCCAGCAGUAUGCAGAGAACCUAGCCUUGAGCAAAGCUCUCCCUUUAAAACAGUCAUUCAUUAUUCUCCAUGUUGGCCUUUUAACCUGCUGAUGUGAGAAUGGAGUAAGGAAGCUGCAGUCUCACCUGCUUAAAAAGCUCCAGACAUCUAUGGCUGGCGUAUAUCUUUCCUCUCCAAGCAGAAGUUCAGGAGGCCGGUACCAUAAAGUAAUAACUUUGUUGGUAUAUGGUCGACUGAAAAAAAGAAGACAGAGAGAUUCAACAUUUCUCUUAAAAUGAGAUUGUAGUGAACUAAUAAAAGUUUGAGGUUUCACUACUACAA